UCUUAACAACAAAAUUAAAUAAUUACUUCUUUAUAUACCAGAUGACGCCACAUUUCUGUUAUAUUAGUUUUCUAUUAAAUUAAAUCGAAGGAACAAAAAAUAAUAAAGAAUUAAAACUUAAAAAUUCUAAAAAACUAACUUUUCAAAUCUAGUAAAGGUGAUAUGAAUAAGAAAUAAUAAAUAUAAAUUAGGCAAGAAUGAAAAAAAAAAUUUGAUGGAAGAAAUAUAAAGUGCAGUAAAUGAAAUGUACUAUUCAAGUCAUUUUAAAUCUGUCAAAGACACAACUACAAACAUUUCUCACAAUAUUGUUCGUGAACAAUUUGUUUAGUCAUAUGCCAUUACGAUAAAUAACAAGAUAUGAAAAGAAAAAUAAAGCGAAAAGUGGAUAAAGAAAAAAUAAUGGAGAAAAGUUAACGAAAAAUAAAAAAUUUAACACAUAUUAAGUGAAUAGUGAGCCAUGGAUUAAUGUGAAUUUUUACUUGACGAACCCUAACCCCAUAUUUAUGUGAACAUCAGUUCCUGAUCCUGUUUAAAUUUAUUUCGUUUAAAUUUCAUCGCAUAACGCUGUAUUGAGAAUCGAAGAAUGCAUCAGUUGUAACAACGUAUCAUCGAUUUCCUGUCAGAUGAAUUUUUCUUUCUUGCUUCACGCGAUGUGCUACUGAUAGCUUCUUUUUUCUGCUCGAAAUGUAUUUGUAUUAAUUUUUCUUCAAUAUUGGCAUUUUCGUAACUUAAAAAUAUACUUUAUUUAUAUUUAUAUAUUUUACAAACAAAUGUCGGAAAAUAACUUUAAUGAAGAUUCCAUGUUAGAUUAUUACAAAUUAGAAUUAACAGCAGACAUUUUGGAAAAUGUCGUGAUUCUAAUUCUCUCAAUUUCAAUUGGAUCAAAUGUGAGGUAAAUAGCAAUAUUUUAAUUUGAAUAAAAAAAUUAAAAGAUACAAAAAAUUGAAAUAAAUUUUUUGAUAUAAAAUAUUACUACAUGCAAUUCGUUAAGCAAAUACGAAGAUCUCGGGUAAUUUCAUUCUAUCCUGAUUCGAUUUACCAAGAACUCAGUGGGUGAUAACAAUCUACAAUUUGUUAUUUAAGCAAAUCGAUGGUCGAUCGGUUAAGACAAGCGAGCUUAUAGAUUGCAUUCGCAAACACGCGUCAGGACACGUGGCGAACGUAAGUCAUGCCAACCCUUUCGCUGUUCACCGCAAAGGAGAUUUCGUCGAAUUCAUCGAUGAUUCCCUGAAAUCUUUGAGAUUAUAUUGCCUCUGCAACUGUAUUUCGCAGUAGACGCGUGUACAAGAUGAUUCUCUUCUACGAAUUCGGCUUGCAUGACAUUCCCGACGAAAUGUUCCGUCUGUCCAUUAUUCAUUGCGACCACUGAAAAUGUGCACGCACAUUUCGUGCUUGAAUUUUUCUUUUAUCCAGUUUCAGAAUUUUAUUGCUUUACAAGAAAACUAUACCACUUGCACAACUAAGAUUAAUAAUUUGAUCAAUGAAAAUCUUCCUAUAUGUUACAUCGGCUUCAAACUUUAUAAUGAAACCUUUCGUUUAAAUGAACUUCAGCAUAUAAUAAUCGCCUUAUCUCGCUAACAAGGGUUCCCUAUAACUUUCGUUCAACACUAUCUAAUAUCGACACAAAUGAAGUUAGCGAUUUCAAUCAAGAUCAUUUCAUGGAACGUUUGUAAGAGAGCUUCCCCACUCUUUGUGGAUAAAGACAAUUAUAAUCGCGAGAAGAAAAAGGUAAGGGUGGCGCCGUAGUGUCGCGAGUGUAUCGAUCACAAAGAAUCGCCUAGGUACCUGUGAUUCAGAGCAGCGGCCUGCCUCCCUCGGCUUGUAAGUGCUUGUACGUGGCCGGCCCUUUCUCUAGUUCGAGCAUGAGGAGCCUCAUGAAACAUGGAUCGAGAGUCGCCCUGGAAGGAGCUGCGGGAAAGAAGCCGACCGCCUGCCGUGCGGUUGCCGAUCAUCGACGAUAGUGAUGGGAUUAAUACUCUCACGUAUCGUAUCGAAAAUCCGGUCAAACAAAUUAUAUGUUAUUGUUCAAAUCAUAAGUAAGUAUAGUAUCGAAGAAGUUAGAAGAAAGAAAAUUAUGAAAAUAUAAAUUAGACAUAUGAAUCGAAGAUACGUUCAGAAAUAGGAAAUAUAUCAGUAUAAAAGUAUGGAAAUUGAGAAAAGAAAUUUCAGAAGUAGAAAUUGAAGAGUGUAUGAAUUUAGAUAUAGAUAUAUAAGAAUGCAUAGAAAAUUUUUGAAAUAUGAAAGAACGGAAAUUUUGGAAUUUUAACAACGAAGACUUGAAAAUUACUGCAAACUGCUUGUCUGAACCUUAUGUUGAAUGAUUUUGCGAUCAGUCCCAUCACUAAUCACCGAUGUGACUACGCGGUUAUUUUUCAAGCGGCUGUGCAAGAAGAGCUUCCUGGCGCUGUUGAUUCACGGAAAUUAGUGCCACCGCGGUUCCUCGAAUUUUCCAUGGAAACUUUAAACCAUCAUUCACGGCUCCUUAAACUUUCGCCCUCAGCCACGUUAAUUCUCAAGUAUUAUCAAUUCAAGAGCAGCUUCAGAGGCACUCGACGCGUCAUCAAUAAACGAUCAUCCCUGUUUGGAUCUAUCUCGUCCUAGGAUCCUUGUCUUGUCGAUCGUUCGCGUGGAUCCCAUCGAUCAUCUUCGUCGUGUGGCGGCGAACGUUCGACGAAACCUGAAAAAAGGAGAAUACACACGU